GAAUAUUGGACAAUGGGCGAAAGCCUGAUCCAGCCAUGCCGCGUGUGUGAAGAAGGUCUUCGGUUUGUAAAGCAAUCUAAGUUGGGGGGAAGGGCAGUAAGCGAAUGCCUUGCUGUUUUGACGUUACCGACAGAAUAAGCACCGGUUAACUCUGUGCCAGCAGCCCCGGUAAUACAGAGGGCGCAAGCGUUACUCGGAAUUACUGGGCGUAAAGCGCGCGUAGGUGGUUCGUUAAGUUGGAUGUGAAAUCCCCGGGCUCAACCUGGGAACUGCAUCCAAAACUGGCGAGCUAGAGUAGGGCAGAGGGUGGUGGAAUUUCCUGUGUGGCGGUGAAAUGCGUAGAUAUAGGAAGGAACACCAGUGGCGAAGGCGACCACCUGGGCUCAUACUGACACUGAGGUGCGAAAGCGUGGGGAGCAAACA
rnacentral:rRNA from 1 species